UACGCUGAUAAAUCUCAGCUUUAUAUUUCUUCACGCCCUGACGAAACUUACCAAUUGAAAAAAUGAAUGGAAUGCAUAUGUGGCAUUACAGGUAAGAUGGGCAUGACUUUCCGAAAUUGCUAGGGCGGGCAUUAAUUUGCGUCAUGGAUUAUUAUCGUCUAUAAAAGCCAUUGGCUUAUGUACCUGGGUAGGCGUCAUUUCCCGGAAGUGGUUUGGCUUUUGUUGUCCUGCUGAACGUGACUGUGGGUCGGUAAAGGAGCGUGACUGUGCGUACGGUCAGUUCUAUGUUUGGCGUUUUGCCGCGGCUGCCCUGUUCAGCUGAUGAAUGUGACUGCAUCUGUCCUUCUCCAGUUAAUGUUUUGCAUACGGGCGUCGGCUGUUGCAUAUAGGCUGUGUAUUUAAUCUUCUGGCCUCAUCCAGUUCCCGCAGUACUCGUUUGGGUUGGUAAUAUCCUCGCAGUGGCGUCACCGCUGUCUCGUUCUAGGUCAAACUUUGAGUCUCUGUGUGCGUUGGGUCACUGUCGUGCUGUUGGACCCACGCCAGUGGAUUUCGUUUUUUGUGUUCAUGUUUUGUUUUUGAAAGUUGAGUCUUUAUUCUGUGUUUUUGUAAACUUUUUUUUUUGUUGUUGUUGUUGUUGUUGUUGUUUCACUAUUCAUCUUUCUAAAUCCGUUUGAUCUAUUUUUUGUAUAAGCUAUUUUUGCUUCUAUUUUGCUGUUUCUGUUAAUCUUUUGUACUUAAUUUGUUUUUGUAUUGACUUUUUGAGUUUGAGAUAUUCAAUUUUUUUUUUUUAAUUGGUUGGAUUUAUUUUUUUGUUGUCUGAUUUAGUUUUUUUUUUUUUUCUAUUUGAGUUUUGAAUUGGGUUAUCUACUCUUCUUGAUAUUGUGAAAUUGUUUUGUUUGGUUAUCAUUUAUUGUGUUUGAUAUUGAGUUAAAGUGAAUUGUUUAACAUUCAUGUAAGUUGUGAUCUAGAACAAUUUGUAUUAACCUUUUUGUGUGUGUGUGUGUGUGUGUGUGUUUGAGUUUUUUUUUUUUUUUUUUUUUUUUUCUAGGAGCUGCUGGCCUCUAUUGACCAGGGUCGACGACUUCCUCUUUAGAUGGUGGUGGUCUUUCUUCAUUGUGUGCUGUGGUUUUUUGGCGUGCACUGGGGUCUUUAUUUUGGUGCGUGUGAUGUGUAGAUUAAGAGCCAUUUAUUCAUGGAGAGUCUUCCCCUAUAAUUCAGGCCGCAGCUCCAUGACAUCUUGAGUGAUCGAAGACUGUGUCAGUUUUUUUGGGAGUUGUUUUCAUUUUAUUGAUUUUAUGCUAUUCUAAUAAAAAAAAAAAUUGUUUGAUACCUGUGUCUCCACGUUUUGCUUGCCACUGGGUAGGGGACCUGUGCAAGGUCUUUUGAGAUUCUUUGGGUGAAAUUCCCAAAGUGGCGUAGUCAGGUAUUCCUUAACUUUAUAAUUUUAUUUAUUUAUUUAUUUAUUUUUUUUAUUUUGUUUAAAUUAAAUUAAUUUAUUGAAAUUUAGCGGCGCCACUCCUAGGCCCCGGCCACACAUAGCUGAUAUUGUUCGUCGUCAGUUAGGAACCUGGGUGUGCUCUUUGAUACCAAUCUUUCAUUUGAAAGCCACAUUUCUAGCAUCUGUA